UCGCUCGAGCAAGGUGGCACUGCCAUGUUCCUGGAUGCCAACUUUCUGUGACAUGGACUGGAGGCAAGACCAGAAGCUGGACCACCACAAGUGGCACCUGAACAGCGACCUGAGUAUCGAGGGAUCCAGUGAAGGACACCGCAGAGAAGAACAAGGCCUCAAUGAAAAGGUACAUUUAUAGACCCACC